AGUUGUUCCGUAAGGAUCAGCUGGGGAAACCGGCGAACGGGUGCGUAACACGUGAGGAACCUGCCCUGGAGAUCGGGAUAGCCCGAGGAAACUCGGAUUAAUACCGAAUAUUCUUGUCGGAUCGCAUGAUCUGAUGAGGAAACAGUCCGCUGCUCCAGGAUGGCCUCGCGGCCUAUCAGCUUGUUGGUGAGGUAACGGCUCACCAAGGCUUCGACGGGUAGCUGGUCUGAGAGGACGAUCAGCCACACUGGGACUGAGACACGGCCCAGACUCCUACGGGAGGCAGCAGCAGGGAAUAUUGCACAAUGGGCGAAAGCCUGAUGCAGCGACGCCGCGUGCGGGAUGAAGGCCUUCGGGUUGUAAACCGCUUUCAGGAGGGACGAAAAUGACGGUACCUCCAGAAGAAGGCCCGGCCAACUACGUGCCAGCAGCCGCGGUAAUACGUANGGGCCAAGCGUUGUCCGGAUUUAU
rnacentral:rRNA from 1 species